AAGGGCAAGAAGCUGUGAGAACUGGCUUGAUACCAGACUGAAGAGAUGACUGCACCAAGAACAGCUUCACUUUCAGUAAUCAGAGUCAAGGAUGUGGGUUUUCUGUGGGCAGAUGUAGAGCAUGUGGAGAGAGUCAGCCUGGGUCAAUUAUAAAAGGGAUCUUGCCCCAAGGGCUUUCUGUCAGGGCUGAUGGGUGAAGCAAACUCAGCAGGAUGCUGAUGGUGGUGUCACAUGCAGAAGAUGAGAGAAUAGGAUGAGGAUGAGGGGCAUAACAGAUCUGCCAGAAGAAGAGUAUUACUGGAGAUGCAAAACUUCUAUAAAGAGAAAAUUCCACCUCCUCUACUGUUAGUGGUGAAGCUCACAUAAGAAAGGUCGAAAGAACUCAAGAGCCAAUUUGAGGACGUUCUGAUUAGCUAAAGUAUGACAAUCUGAGCAUCAGUAAGAUCAUCAACUACAAACUAUUUUAAGAAAUCGUAUUGCUAAUGAUAAUCUUGGUAUUGCUAUUCUGAGAUAGUUGAGUUUGCAUUGUGAAAUAAAGCAAAUAUGUAUUUAUUUGAUAA